rnacentral:misc_RNA from 1 species
GAUGAAGAACGUAGCGAAAUGCGAUAAGUAAUGCGAAUUGCAGAAUUUCCGUGAAUCAUCGAAUCUUUGAACGCACAUUGCGCCCCCUGGUAUUCCGGGGGGCAUGCCUGUCCGAGCGUCAUUACAACCCUCAAGCUCAGCUUGGUGUUGGGCCCCGACGCCCCGGCGGGCCCUAAAGUCAGUGGCGGUGCCGUCCGGCUCCGAGCGUAGUAAUUCUUCUCGCUCUGGAGGUCCGGUCGUGUGCUCGCCAGCAACCCCCAAUUUUUUUCAGGUUGACCUCGGAUCAGGUAGGGAUACCCGCUGAACUUAAGCAUAUCAAUAAGCGGAGGA